rnacentral:rRNA from 1 species
CCUACGGGGGGCAGCAGUGGGGAAUAUUGCACAAUGGGCGCAAGCCUGAUGCAGCCAUGCCGCGUGUGUGAAGAAGGCCUUCGGGUUGUAAAGCACUUUCAGCGGGGAGGAAGGCGGUGAGGUUAAUAACCUCAUCGAUUGACGUUACCCGCAGAAGAAGCACCGGCUAACUCCGUGCCAGCAGCCGCGGUAAUACGGAGGGUGCAAGCGUUAAUCGGAAUUACUGGGCGUAAAGCGCACGCAGGCGGUCUGUCAAGUCGGAUGUGAAAUCCCCGGGCUCAACCCGGGAACUGCAUUCGAAACUGGCAGGCUAGAGUCUUGUAGAGGGGGGUAGAAUCCCAGGUGUAGCGGUGAAAUGCGUAGAGAUCUGGAGGAAUACCGGUGGCGAAGGCGGCCCCCUGGACAAAGACUGACGCUCAGGUGCGAAAGCGUGGGGAGCAAACAGGAUUAGAUACCCGAGUAGUC